rnacentral:rRNA from 1 species
AUACGGAGGGUGCAAGCGUUAUCCGGAAUCAUUGGGUUUAAAGGGUCCGUAGGCGGGCAAAUAAGUCAGAGGUGAAAUCCCACAGCUCAACUGUGGAACUGCCUUGGAUACUGUUUGUCUUGAGUUAUAGUGAAGUAGAUAGAAUAUGUAGUGUAGCGGUGAAAUGCAUAGAUAUUACAUAGAAUACCGAUUGCGAAGGCAGUCUACUAACUAUUGACUGACGCUAAUGGACGAAAGCGUGGGGAGCGAACAGGAUUAGAAACCCUGGUAGUCC